AGCACGUGUUCAGUUUUUGUCUGUUGCUGUAGACAAAAAACCUGGAACCUGGUGCUUAGAAAAAAACCCUUCUUUUGCAACCCACAGCUGAUGAACAUAUUAGUUGUGUUACUUAUAUGAAGGGACAAU
rnacentral:snoRNA from 1 species